rnacentral:rRNA from 1 species
UAGCUGUAGGGAAUUUUCGUCAAUGGGGGGAACCCUGAACGAGCAAUGCCGCGUGAGUGAUGAAGGAUUUCGGUCUGUAAAGCUCUGUUGUAAAGGAAAAACGAUCACUAGAGGGAAUGCUAGUGAGCUGAUGGUACUUUACCAGAAAGCCACGGCUAACUACGUGCCAGCAGCCGCGGUAAUACGUAGGUG